UACGGAGGGUGCAAACGUUGCUCGGAAUCAUUGGGCGUAAAGCGCACGUAGGCGGUCUUUUAAGUCGGACGUGAAAUCCCUCGGCUUAACCGGGGAACUGCGUCUGAUACUGGAUGGCUUGAGUUCGGGAGAGGGAUGCGGAAUUCCAGGUGUAGCGGUGAAAUGCGUAGAUAUCUGGAGGAACACCGGUGGCGAAGGCGGCAUCCUGGACCGACACUGACGCUGAGGAGCGAAAGCCAGGGGAGCAAACGGG
rnacentral:rRNA from 1 species